CACGGGGUCCUGUGGCUGCCUCUGCGCUGGACUCCUCACGGAUUGGAGGCUAUUAUAUCACAUGGGAAGUUAGAAUAAUCCAGUUUAUCAAGCUCCUUUCUAACAUGUGCUGCAGAAUACAAAGCUGUCAUGGGACCUCUCCUGAAUUUUCUCUGAACAUGGUGGAUUUUUGUUGUUCUCAUCUCCUUGGCUAGUGACAACAAUGUGCAAGUGAAACAAUGUGUGGGCUGCAGUUCAUCUUCCAUGGUUGGAUGCCAUCUGAAAGACAGUGUGCCCGAGAGGCUGGGGAGAUGUGCAAGAGCUCCAAGAAUCCCAGCGUUAGGAAUGGCAUCCUCCAGGUUUGAAAUUAAAUAAUGGCCCUACAGACAUUCCCUGGUACUUUACUACUGAUGAAGAUACUCAGGGCUUUGCAAAGUGCAUGCAAUGUGUCUGUAAUCUCAAGUUCUUAAUAUGCUUUAUUGAAUCCACAAGGAAGAGAUGCAGUCUGCACAAGAUAUAUUCAAGGAGAUUCAGUGCCAUAAAGAGUAACUGAGCAAG